rnacentral:lncRNA from 1 species
AUCUCACUCAUUCCUGAAGCAUCAGCUCUUUUUAAAUUACUUUUCAUCUCCAACUAAUUAGCUCAAGAUUCAAUAAGAUUCUGAAGGAUAUUCUCAACAUCUUAGAACUAUAUUUUGAAUGACUUAAAAUAUUUCUGUCUGUGUCUUCAGCAUUUAAAAAUAAUUGGACACAUACAAGCAUAUCACCUUUGGGAUGUGGAGUCCAAUUCAGAUUGCUGUUUCAGGUGAAUUUAUCCUCCAGGCAGGGGGAAAACCAAUUCUAUUUGUAAAACUCAUGCAUCUUUAAGUAACUUCCCUUGUGGGAAAAUGUUUGUUUCUAAUAUUUUAAUAUUUCAAAAACUCAAAAAAUUAGGGGUCAGGGAUUUAGCUCAGUGGUUCUGCUGCCUACCUCACAAGCGCAAGAUCCCGAGUUCGAUUCCUGGUACCAAAAAAAAAAAAACCUCAAAAAAUUUCAAUCUUUGGAUCUUCAAAAAUCUUAGGCAAACUACUACAAUAGUUUUGGAAGUCUAAAAGUUUAGUUAAGUCAAUACUGUCACAGAAAUGAGAAACAUUAGUCAGCUUAAAAUUUUUUUAGGAGUACAAGUAGGUAGAGGAGCAAUCAACCAGGAUUUCAAUCAUGUUUUAUCCAUUUUUAUCUCUCUGUAUUACCAAAAGCAUAUCCUUUGCCCUUUUAUAUUUCUGACUUAGGAUGCUAAUGUUACUUACCAGGUGACUCUAUCAGCUGUGUUAACUGCAUUCUUAUGUGUACAAUUUGAAUUCUGUGAAACAGGUUGUCUGAAUGAGAACAUGAAAACACGUGUCUCUCUGCUUUCUCUCUAGAGAAACAUCUGUCAUUGACAUUUUUAACAGAAUUGAUGGCACAGAUACCUCAAUGGUCAUACCUCUUUUCUUUCUUUUAAUGAUGAUGCUAAGCAGAUGCUGACAUGAUGCUCAUCACUAUCAAGGAUCAUUUGGACUCAUAUUUGAAGUUAGUGCAUUACAAUGUCUCUGUUAUGAUUUAUAUCUAGAUGUCCCUCCCAAAGCCUCAUGCAGUCAUAGGUGGGGCUUUUCAGAGAUGGCUGGAUACAAGGUAUGUGAUGCUUGGAUUAAGGGUGAAUGAUUAUUAAAUUAGCCACUGAUUGGAAUUUGUACAGUUCUGAAUGGCACCACUCAAAGGGCAGGUAGCCUGGAUGGAUAUAAAGGGGCAGAAAGAAGACAGGGUGUUGCUGCUGCUGCAUCUGUUUCAGCUGUUUUCUUGCUGAUGCUUGCUGCUUAGCUGUUUUCUGCCUGCCAUGGAUUGUUUCUCCUCUGUGAUGCCCCUCUGCCAUGCCACCCUACUUUGGACCCAGCCAACUACAGACUGAAAACUCUACACAUUAUGAACCAAAAUUAACUUUUCCUCCGUUUACUUUGGGUGCCAGGUGUUUUGUCUCAGCAAUAAAAAAAGUAACCAAGACAGUCUCUAUCCCAUAUAGGGGUGGUAAAUUAUACAUCUUUCCUUAAUCUUUGGGAUCAGAUUUCCAAUAAAGUUUGUGUAGAAGUAGUGAGUGUUGGAACUCUUUCUGGUUUUCAUUAUUGAGUAAUAUAUUAAAAAUUAUUUUGCAUUUGUUCUUAUAAGAUUGAGGAAGUUUAUUAUUCUUAAUGAGGUAUAUUUCUAUAUCAUUGUUAUUAAAUUAUAUAAAAUCAUUUUCUGUAUUAUUUCUUUAAUAGAGUCUAUUCCAUUGAUUGAUUGUUGUAAGUUAAACCAACCUUGCAUUCUUAGGAUAAUUUCAUCAUGGUAUGAUAUCCUUUGCACAUACUGAUGAAUUUGACUUGCUAAUAUUUAAAAAUUAUUUUUCAAAUUGCAUUCAUUGUAGAUAUUAGUCUUAAGCUUUUUCUAUUCUUUCAAAACAAACAACUAGAAAAUUUGAUAAUACAUGAAACAUAACUGUUUUAAUUUACAUAACAGGAAUUUUCUGAUAGAAGGUAAGUAAAGUGAGGUUUUUAAUAACUCCAGAUUGCUGACUCUGGUAUGGAGAAGGAAAUAAUAAAGAGUAUACAGCAAAAUAAAAUUUCAGUGAAGUUGAGUCUCUUGAAAGGAGGUAACUCUGCCAGGCAAACACUCUAUAAAUCUGCUCCGAAAUACCUUUGUAUCUUUUGCUGAACAUUAAGCCAAACACAUGCAAGAAUAAGUCUAUUUGAAAAUUUAUUUACCCAUAUUCUGUAUUCUUUUAUACUUAAUGGAAUGUUUAGCAUAAUGAUCACUCAACUUUGAGUUAUGGCUUCUUGACACAAUAUCAUGUGUUUAAAAAAUAUGACAUUCAAUUUGUAGAUUCUUCUUUCUUGCUCAGCACAUUCAUUCCUCCACUGAAUUGAUGGUUUUCUUUGUUCUGGAGCAAACAGAUCAGCUUCCAGAAAUAUCUUAUUUUAGCAAAUAGAUAGAUGAAGUGAUUAGUCAGGGUAGGUCCUUUUCCAUUUUUAAUUUCAGUCAUUAUUGGUGGCAGAAGGUAAGCAGUAUGUAGCCUCCACCUCAGGUGUGUUAGCAUAUUGCAAUUAAAGAGAGCUACUCCUCACCAUCCAGAAGGAAAAGAAUUUGUCAAAGUGUCAAAUUAUUUAUUUCCAGCAUAAACUACAGUUCCCUGUCCAAAACACUAUGAUUUUUUAGUAAAAUGUGGAUAUCUUCAAAACACAGGCACACAUUAUUCAUAAAUUGUGAUGUAGGAAACUUGGAUAGCAUAAUUAUUUUCCACCAGGUAAACACAUUUGGUGGCUUCUCCACAUUCAUCCUUAUUAUAAAUAAUUGUUCCAAUUAGUGUUAUCCAAAUGCUGUGAGAAGACUGAGGUAAAGAUGCAAUUUAAAGCAAUGUAACCAAGAUUAUUUUUAUAUUCACUGAAAUAAAUCCAAGUCAGUCAGGAAAGGAGUUCAUGGCGAACAAUGUACAUGCUGAUGGAAAAUAUUCUUGAAUAUUACAUAACUAAAUUAAACCAAUAAAAAGAAGAAUAUAAUUUGGAAACUAUAAU